rnacentral:rRNA from 1 species
UGGGGAAUUUUGCGCAAUGGGCUAACGCCUGACGCAGCAACGCCGCGUGGAGGAUGAAGGUCUUUGGAUUGUAAACUCCUGUCAGCAGGGAAAAAGCAACAGGUGCUCAUACCAUCUGGAGUUGAUUGUACCUGCAGAGGAAGCCCCGGCUAACUCUGUGCCAGCAGCCGCGGUAAUACAGAGGGGGCAAGCGUUAUUCGGAAUUAUUGGGCGUAAAGGGCGCGUAGGCGGCUUUGCAAGUGACGGGUGAAAGCCCUCGGCUUAACCGAGGAACUGCCUGUCAGACUGUGAGGUUUGAGACCGGGAGAGGUGAGUGGAAUUCCCAGUGUAGCGGUGAAAUGCGUAGAUAUUGGGAGGAACACCAGUGGCGAAGGCGGCUCACUGGACCGGAACUGACGCUGAGGCGCGAAAGCGUGGGGAGCAAACAGGAUUAGAUACCCUGGUAGUCCACGCCGUAAACGAUGAGUGCUUGGUGUAGCGGGUAUCGACCCC